GGGAAUAUUGCAAAAUGGGCGAGAGCCCGAUGCAGCAACGCCGCGUGGGCGAUGAAGGCCUUCGGGUCGUAAAGCCCUUUUUGAGGGGAUGAGGAAGGACAGUACCCUCAGAAUAAGCCUCGGCUAACUACGUGCCAGCAGCCGCGGUAAAACGUAGGAGGCGAGCGUUAUCCGGAUUUACUGGGCGUAAAGCGCGUGCAGGCGGAUUGGAGAGUUGGAUGUGAAAGCUCCCGGCUUAACUGGGAGAGGUCGUUCAAUACUUCCAGUCUUGAGUGCAGUAGAGGGAAGUGGAAUUCCGGGUGUAGUGGUGAAAUGCGUAGAUAUCCGGAGGAACACCAGUGGCGAAAGCGGCUUCCUGGACUGUAACUGACGCUCAGACGCGAAAGCUAGGGUAGCAAACG
rnacentral:rRNA from 1 species